UACGUAGGGGGCAAGCGUUGUCCGGAUUUAUUGGGCGUAAAGAGCGUGUAGGCGGCCAGGUAGGUCUGGUGUGAAAACUCGAGGCUUAACCUCGAGAUGUCAUCGGAAACCAUCUGGCUAGAGUCCGGAAGAGGAGAGUGGAAUUCCUGGUGUAGCGGUGAAAUGCGCAGAUAUCAGGAAGAACACCAAUGGCGAAGGCAGCUCUCUGGGACGGUACUGACGCUGAGACGCGAAAGCGUGGGGAGCGAACAGG
rnacentral:rRNA from 1 species